rnacentral:rRNA from 1 species
UGCCUGUGGGCGGGCGGCUAUACAUGCAGUCGAGCGAAUGGAUUAAGAGCUUGCUCUUAUGAAGUUAGCGGCGGACGGGUGAGUAACACGUGGGUAACCUGCCCAUAAGACUGGGAUAACUCCGGGAAACCGGGGCUAAUACCGGAUAACAUUUUGAACCGCAUGGUUCGAAAUUGAAAGGCGGCUUCGGCUGUCACUUAUGGAUGGACCCGCGUCGCAUUAGCUAGUUGGUGAGGUAACGGCUCACCAAGGCAACGAUGCGUAGCCGACCUGAGAGGGUGAUCGGCCACACUGGGACUGAGACACGGCCCAGACUCCUACGGGAGGCAGCAGUAGGGAAUCUUCCGCAAUGGACGAAAGUCUGACGGAGCAACGCCGCGUGAGUGAUGAAGGCUUUCGGGUCGUAAAACUCUGUUGUUAGGGAAGAACAAGUGCUAGUUGAAUAAGCUGGCACCUUGACGGUACCUAACCAGAAAGCCACGGCUAACUACGUGCCAGCAGCCGCGGUAAUACGUAGGUGGCAAGCGUUAUCCGGAAUUAUUGGGCGUAAAGCGCGCGCAGGUGGUUUCUUAAGUCUGAUGUGAAAGCCCACGGCUCAACCGUGGAGGGUCAUUGGAAACUGGGAGACUUGAGUGCAGAAGAGGAAAGUGGAAUUCCAUGUUGUAGCGGUGAAAUGCGUAGAGAUAUGGAGGAACACCAGUUGGCGAAAGCGACUUUCUGGUCUGUAACUGACACUGAAGGCGCGAAAGCGUGGGGAGCAAACAUGAUUAGAUACCCUGGUAGUCCACGCCGUAAACGAUGAGUGCUAAGUGUUAGAGGGUUCCGCCCUUAGUGCUGAAGUAACGCAUAAGCACUCGCCUGGGAGUACGGCGCAAGCUGAACUCAAGGAAUGACCGCGGCCGCACAAGCGUGAGCAUGUGUUUAUCGAGCACGCGAGAUCUUACCAGUCUGACAUCUCUGACAUCUAGAGAUAGGACUCUCCUCAGAGCGAUGACAGUGGUGCAUGAAUGUCUCAGCUCAGUCCUGAAGUUAGUCAGUCGCACAGGCACUGACUAUGCAUCCUAUGGACCUCAGUACUGCGUGCACGAGAUCACGGACUA